CACGUGCUCCGGGGUCGGUGUAAUUCCGAGCCGGCGGUGACAGUCCGCGACCCGCACGGUCCGCAAGGAUCGGGCGGUUGACCUGGUGGAACUCCAGGACCGACGGUGAAAGUCCGGAUGGGAGGAUCACGUG
rfam:Cellulomonas sp. Root930 contig_1, whole genome shotgun sequence.